CUUGGGGACAAAGCAAGGUAGUGCCUUGUGCUUGGGGUAAUGAUAACUGGGAUGCGCACAGGACGGUCUGACAGCAGAGUUUGUGUUCGGUGUGCCGGACCCAAUAAAUGGGAAGGCAUGGCCGCCCUCUGUGGCUUUCCAUCCGUCCCCUCGCUUCUCUUCCUCAUCUGCAUUGCCAGCCCCAGCCGGGCCCCUCCAGCAGAUGUGGUGGGAGGGGGAGCAGGCUGGCACUCAAGAGUACCCCAACCUGUGUCAGCAGGGCUGCUGGCAAAUAUGGGAGACACAGGGGAAAUCUACCAGUACUAGUCAUCUACCGCACUUCUCAGCGAGCUCAGAGAAGCUGUUUCCCCCUAACUACGGUGAAGUUCCAUGUAGGUUAUAUAAUAACACCAUGCAUUUGGGUAAUUAUUCUCUUACAGUUAUCAUUUUUGUAACGCCUCCUUGUGAAACAUUUUCAUAUGCAGUAUCCCAUCUGGCUCCGCGAACUCUGACAAGCAAGCAUGGCCCUCCAGGUCCUACAGGUGAGGAAACAGAAUCAGAGAUGGUCAAUAAAAAAUACCAGUUCACUCAUAAAGAAGGCACAGAGAAUAUGCCAGGCACUGUUCAAAGUGUUGUAAAUAUUAAUAUUUAUUUCGUCUUCGCAACAACCUUGUGAGUUGGGUACUAUUAUCCUUCUCGUUUUACAGAUGCGGUUAAGUCGGGCUCAGAGGGGUUAAUGAAUUGUCAUGCAUGGGUCACACAGUUUCACAUGGGAGACACACAGAAUUGGAACUCAGGUUGACAGGUUCUAGAGCUCUCCAGCCUCUUGUUGACUUGGUCAAAGUCACAGAGCUGGAAAGAGGCAAAAGGCAAAGCCUGGCUGGACUUACAGCCCUGCUUUCCACUUGGCAGCAAUAGCUCACACAUCCCAGGGUUGAACGUGGGCCCCUUUUGCUCACUUUAGUUCUGUUACUUUACUUAAGCCUUCCCACGCUGCAAGAGAGGAAACUGAGGCAUAGAGGUAAAGUGACUUGCCCGAGGUGGCAAAGUGAGCAAGUGGCAGAGAAAGGAUUUGAAUCCUUUCUGGACCUCAAGCCCCUAGUCCUCAUUUACAGCCUGUCCUCCCGGCUGCCCCUACCCAUAGAGUUUUCCAUUGUUCUCCCUGGUGUCCAGAGUCAUAGGUAAGUUUCCGUCCGUGCAAAGUCUAAGGGGUUUCCGGUCACUGCUGGCUUUCUGUUUACUUUGCUGAAC
rnacentral:lncRNA from 1 species